rnacentral:rRNA from 1 species
CGGUGUUCAACUGGCGUGUCCGCGAGACGUCCUGCCGGUGGGCUUAGCCCGCAAGGGCGGCCCAACUUCAAAUCCCAUCGCGGUGCUCUUCACUGAGUGUCGAGGUGGGCCGGCACGUUUACUUUGAACAAAUUAGAGUGCUUAAAGCAGGCUAAAACUUCGCCUGAAUACUGUGUGCAUGGAAUAAUGGAAUAGGACCUCGGUUCUAUUUUGUUGGUUUUCGGAACCCCCGAGGUAAUGACUAAUAGGAACGGAUGGGGGCAUUCGUAUUGCGACGUUAGAGGUGAAAUUCUUGGAUCGUCGCAAGACGGACAGAAGCGAAAGCAUUUGCCAAAAACGCUUUCAUUGAUCAAGAACGAAAGUUAGAGGUUCGAAGGCGAUCAGAUACCGCCCUAGUUCUAACCAUAAACGAUGCCAGCUAGCGAUCCGUCGACGUUCCUCCGAUGACUCGACGGGCAGCUUCCGGGAAACCAAAGCUUUUGGGUUCCGGGGGAAGUAUGGUUGCAAAGCUGAAACUUAAAGGAAUUGACGGAAGGGCACCCCCAGGAGUGGAGCCUGCGGCUUAAUUUGACUCAACACGGGAAACCUCCCCAGGCCCGGACACCGGAAGGAUUGACAGAUUGAGAGCUCUUUCUUGAUUCGGUGGGUGGUGGUGCAUGGCCGUUCUUAGUUGGUGGAGCGAUUUGUCUGGUUAAUUCCGAUAACGAACGAGACUCUAGCCUGCUAACUAGGCGUAUUUUCGACAUCUCAAAGGUCCGUCGUCCCGGCCCUCGGGUCGUGGGCGUGCGCGAUUUUUACUGUCGGCGUACUAUCAAUUCUUCUUAGAGGGACAGGUGGCUUCUAGCCGCACGAGAUUGAGCAAUAACAGGUCUGUGAUG